CCAGUGGGAGGCUGGUGUCUCCCAAAUCACAGUCCACAGCAUCUUUUGCUCUAAAAUGCUGCAUCCUCCUCAUUCUAGCUCUCCUUCCCCCGUAAUUUUAUUUGCCUCCAUUCUAUCCAGGCAGUGGAUCAGGAGACCCUGAGUAAGAAAGAAUAAACAGUCAACUUUACUCCAGCAAUUCCACUCUGAGAUAUUUGCCAAAGAGAGAGAAACUUAAUAUGCCAUCAAAAGGCUUGGAUGUGAAUUUUUUUUGCAUCUUCAUUAUAAUAAUCAAACACUGAAAACAGCGCAGAUGUCCAUUGACAGAUGACUACACAAGUUGCAGUAGGUCCAUGCGGUGGAGUGUCACUCUUCAACAAAUGGAACAAAUGACUGGUAAAUGUGACAACAUGCAUGACUCUCACAGACAUUAUGCUGAGUGAAAGAAGCCACACACAACAGCGCAUACCCUGUGAUUCUGCUUAUGUGAAGUUCUGGAACACGAACAACUGGAAACCAGAUCAGUGUUUGCUUGCAGGGCUGGAAGGACAGGGUGACAGGAGAGGUGCAGAGGGAGAAGGGGGUUAGCUGGAAGGGGAUAUGGGGAACUUUUCAGGGUGAUCAAAAUAUCCUAUAUCUUUAUAGGGGUGUGGAGUGCAUGGGUAAUGCAUCUAUUAGACUAACCAAUCUGUAUGCUUGAGACUCAUGAUGACAUGCAGAGCUAAGGGCAGGCUUUUCGAGCCAUAAGCAAGAUUGAAACAGCCACUUCUGAGUGUCAGCAAUGUCCUGUUUUCAUGUUAAAUAUUAAUUGUUUUUCUAUGUUGGACUGCUUAGGAAGAUUUUGUGGUGACCACCAAGGAGUAGAAGAAUGCUUUGGUGACAUCAUAUCCUUCUAAAUGGUUUUUCUCUUAGUAGUUUUCUCUUUUCACAUCCUCCCACCCCACCUUAUCCUAAGUUCCUGUCUCCUGACCCCUGCCUCUCUCUCUUCUUGACAUCUAAGGUGAUGCUGUCCAAGCCCUGUUGCGUUUUCCCAUUUCAACUGUACCAAACACUGUCACCUUACAUGGACUUGAGCCCUCUUGAGGCGCUGACCUCUCAAUAGGCUGAUCAGUCGUUCUUCAAGAGGACCCCUUCUUAAAGCCUAAGCACCCUAAAGAUGUUCCCUGUAACACUUUAAUAUCUCUUGAAUGAAAAAAUAUAUGGAAAGGAAAAGCUACUAUUAAUUAACAUAAUGUUUUUAAAUGGAUUUGCAUUUUAUUAACUAUAGACAAUAUCUACAUGCAUUAAAAUAAUAACAUAAUAUUGUGUACUUACGUGCCAGGUAUUUUGCUAAGUACUCAACAUGCAUCAUCUGCAAUUUGCCCCACAACUGUACAGAGCAGAAACCAUUGUUAUCCCCAUCAUAUAGACAAGGAAACCAAGGCUCAGAGAAGUUAAAUAACGUGCCCAGCUGAUGGGAAGUGGUGGUCUCAGAACUCAGUCUGAUGGGCAUGAAGGAUUUAGUGACACUUGAUCUUGCUUUUUUUAUUUACUUACUCUGUGGACCAAGUUUGGCAUGCCUAUGAUUCACGAGCCUCUGGCUUAUAGUCGGGGCCUCCUCAGAGUCUGAGAUCACCAGGAGAGAGUCACAGGCUAUUUGAAGAUCUAGUGUAGGUGCUGAGCCAUUGGCCUGAAAUUGAGCUUCAACUUGUUCUAGCACUCGGCCCUCCUAAACCCAGCCCCCUUUCAGUCUCCCUCAAACCUCUAAGUGCCUGGCACUUGAUCAGGCCUCCGCCCAGGCUGACUAGUCUCAGUGUCCCCUGAGGCUGGAGGGGUUAACAGUUGAGAACCUGUUUGCAGACCAUUAGAAACAAUAAUCACCUUGCUGAGUAACCUGAUCUACCUCAAACUAAGGGGCUUGAUUUUAGCAAACAGUUUAAGUGGCCUCUGUGCAAAGUGGAGGGGUGGGGCAGGCCUGAACCAGCGUGCCCAGGGUGCAUUUCUUCUGGGCGGCUGGGAUUUCUGUGGUGAUCAAGCCAGGCCCAGGGGCCGAUUCCUGGGCCUACGCAGCCGAGUUCACAGCCAUCUGGCUGCUUCUUCCCCUGGAAUUCUGCAAAAGGCUCCCUCAUAUGUCGUGGUCCAAUACAGGCCCCACAUCACGGCUUUCCCCGGCCUGCCUCUCUAACUGGUGUCCUCUGGACCAGGGGCGCAGCCUGAGUCUUUACUGUGCGCUCUACGGCUCGGCCUUCUUCAUCCUCACUGCUGGGCGCUCCUGCUAUUUUGCCUCCCAUUUCACAACUGGGAAGGACAAGACACAGGCAGCUGUGUGCAUGCGAGCCAGCGCUGAUUGUUAAACUUCCAGGAAUUUUGCAAACUAAUGGUUCAACAUGGUCAUGGUUAGAAAUUAAACAUUUUAACGAAGGUUAAAAACGAAGGUAAUAAGUACUCAGAAUUCAUCACUUCCUAGUUACUACAUUUCACUAGUGUCUGUGUUCAGGAGGUGAUUCACAUCUACCAUAUCUGUAUGGUGGAAAUGUCGUAUAAUGGUGCUCCUCUGCAUACUUCUCAUUCCAACUCUCCAUUUUGUGGUAUCACGUUUGUACCUUGAAAUUGGCCAGGGUGGGGCUAUUUACACCACAGAAAUUGGCAAAUCUACGAAUCGGGGCUUGUAUUCCCCACCCAUCCCCCAACCCCCUCCAAGUUGGUUGUUAAACAUUUACCAGUACCUCUGUGCUAAGAGAGAACGAACUUGACCAGGUCAGGAGGCUUGUGCUAGGGCCAAGCCUGCAGCUGGACUCCAGAGAGCUUACUAUGGGGCUAUGCCACCUCUUAAAAAAUCAUAAAGGUUCUUCAACAAGUUCACUGCAAGGAAAUGAAAGAGUUGAGGGAGGGUUUAAUGGUUAAAAAUUAAAAGAGACUUACAGACAUAUUACACAAUCACUAUAAGUACAUCUUAUUUGGAUUCUGAUUAAAAUGAACUAAAAAAAGGACAUGAGGCAUUUGGAAAUUUGAGCACUUACUAGAUAUUUGAUGAUAUUAAGGAAUUAUUUUUUUAGGUGUGAUAAUGGUAUCAUCUUUUAGGGCACUGACUAUUUCAGAUGAAAUGAUACGCUUUUUGAGAUUGGCUUUAAUAAUAAUACUGGAAGGCAGAACAGCAUGGAGAAGAUAAGUAAUGGCUGUAUAUAUAUAUAUAUAUAUAUAGCAUUUUACAACACUGAUGGACAGUGACUGUAUUGGGUGGGUUAGGACUUGAUAAUACGGGUGGAUGUUGAAACCACAAUGUUCAUGUGAAACCUUUGUAAGAGUAUAUAUCAAUGAUACCUUAAUAAAAAAAAAAUAAUAAUACUGGAAGGCAAACAUGAGUUGAGUGGAAAGACCAAUGGUUCUCGCAACGUGGCUGCUUGACCUGCAGCACUGGUAUGACCUGGGAACAUGAAAAAGCAAAUUCUCAGGUCCCAGCUCAGACCUGUGCCAUCAGGAAUUCUGAGGGAGGGUCCAGCAAUCCGUGUUUUAACAAACCGCCAGAUGACUCUGAUGCACACUGAAGUCUGAGAGCUGCUGGUUGAGGUGAAACAAGAUUCCCCGUGAACUGAUUGUUGAGGCUGAAUGACAUGUACCUGAGGUGGGGGGAUCCAUGUGGAUCCUUGACAUUUUCUAUCGUGAAAAGUUUAAUGAGAUAAUUUGGCACAUUGGAUGAGGGGAGUGUACGAGUGAUGGAGGAGAGGUCAGAGUGGGCUGGUGUCUGGAUAUAAAGAGAGACACGUGAUUCUCUUGACUGUCAUUCACAAGCAUCGUAUUUGGCGCCGGUGUCUUCAUUGUCUGUUGAGUUAAAAAUCCAGGUUAUGGCUGCAUUGGCCGCUGAGUUAGCAGGCAGCUCUGCCUGCUCCCCGCCCGCCCCGUCUCCCUGGCUUCCUCUCCUCCCCGCCCCUUCAUUGGAAUCCUUAGUGUUAAUAAGGUUGGAUCCUGGAAUCUCAAAUCUCUUGGAAAAACAGCUAUGUUAAUUUUCAACUUCUGCCCAAAGCCCUGUAAAAUAGCCACCCACUAGACUUGCUUUAUCAGCUACAGACGUGAUACAAUUAAUGAUCUUUACGCCACCUCUCACCUCACAAGCUGCUUAACUUCCAGCCCAUCUUGGGUUUACUUAGCAGAUAUGCCUAAGAGCCCGUAACUGUUUACCUCUCUCUAGAGGGGCUGUCCUGGGCAGAUGAAUUCAUUAGUUGGUGUUUGCAGAGCUGCAGGAAACCCAAAAAAGCAUUAGUUCCCACAGGUUCUGUUCUCCACCCUGAGCUGCCUAGAGACAGCCGAGGUGGAAGAUGCCUUAUGGCCUCCUUCCCCCACUCCCACCACAACAGCGCUUUGGCCACUUAAGGGAAAAAAAGGCAUGACUUCCCUCACUCUGGUCUAACUGGCUCACUGCUCCAAGCGUAAAAAUUUCCAGGGUGGCAAAUAAAGGGAGAAUUCAAAAUAACAGUGCUUUUUUGGAGGCUUCUACAGAGGUAUGUAAUUUUUUUGAAUUUCUUUUAGUGGGUUGUAAGACUACAGGUAUGGAAUAAACAGUGAUGUAUAAUGAAAAAAGCAUGGAUUUUGGAGUCAGAUAUAUUUGGGUUCAAGUUUUGGCCUUAUCUCUGCCAAGUUAAUCGCCUCCACUGGAUCUAGGUUUCCUCAUUAUUAAAAUGGAGGCAACAACCUUCCUGCAGAGGACUGGCAUAAGAAUUAAAUGAUAAGAUAUAUAAAUUGUUGGCACUAGUAUUAGGAAAUAUUAGAGUCAUUCCCCUACAAUCCCAGCAUAUUCUCUAUUUCUGCCAGAGAUGGUGUUCUAAAAAUGAGUACCAGGGCUGCAUUUUUAAAUUAUACAUUCAUGAAGCCUUCUCCAUGCAUAACAAUUAAUUUAGUGAGUAAAAGAAAGUCUGAAGAGUUGACUAAUGUUUGAUAUACAGUCAUUUUCAAAUAAGUAUGUUAAAACCAAGUAUAUUCUAAUACUGAAGUCCAUAAAUUAGUGCUUUAGAGAUCAACAGAGAACUCUCCAGUGUUUUUAGACAUUGUGGGACUUCGUUCUCACCUACGACACGCCUCACUCCUAUGGAUAAUCUCCUCCUUGCCGUCGUCAUAGGUCUGCUCCCCUCUACCCUGGCUCCCCUCAUACUUCCACACAACUGCUGAACUGCUCCAGUGUUUUUUAGACACUAGAGACAGUCAACUAUUUGUGAGCAGGGAGCAUGUUCACUGUGUGUCUUUAGCCUAAUGCACAUAGUGCCGCAAUCAUUUAUUGGAAGAAUGAAUAGUUCUAAUGUUUGUGGGAUGUUUUAUACUGAAUUGGAAUUAUGCUAGUCAAAUAAGAUCUGGAAAUGAAAGGAUAUUAAGUAUAUUUCUGAGGACACAGAGGUGCUGACUCUAACAAGGUGGUCAAGGAUAUGUGGUAAUGAAUUCACUAAACACUUCAUUUCAAAGAUUUUUACAUAUUGAUUUUUAGGCAUGUUUUAUUAUGUAAAAUUUCAAACAUAUUCAAAAGUAGAGAAAAUAGUAUAACAAUCCCCUCUGUAUCUAUCACCUCACGUCAACAUUUAUCAAUCUUUUUCAUCUACAUCUGUCCCUUCUCUCCUACCAUCAGAUUAUCUUGAAGCAAAUUCCAGAUAUCCUGUUACUUCAUCCAUAAAAGAUUUCAGUUAUGUAGAAAUUUAAAAAUUUACCCCACUAUUCAAAUUUCUUUUUUAUUUACCACAUUUAUUCAACACAUCUUUCUGCACAUGUUUUAAGUCUGCAACUUGGUUUCUCAUUAAAAAUUUCCUUUAAUAAACCUUUUAUUAGUGGUUUUUUUUUUUUUUGUCCUUUCCCAUAGACUUACAUAAACCAUUCCUGGAAAUGCAACACCAAGAGAAAGCUCAACAGGUUCCUGGGAAGUAUUAUCAGCAUGGAAUUCCAGAAAGUCUUCUCAGGGUCAUGGCCAUGUUUCAAAGGGCUGAAGUUGCUGAGUUUUCCCUCCAGAAAAGUGAGCCACUGUGGACCUGCUGGAGACUGCUCUGCUAUUCCCAGGACCUCAGUUAUCUGGAGAGAGGAACUCCAAGGAAAAAAGUCAAGAAUGAGCGAGGGGGCACAGCCACAGAACCUGAGAUGCUCCGCACCAGAAGGCCGUUCUUGGAGGUCAUCUAGCCACCCUCUCGGUGGGAAAGAAAAACAAACUGCAACCGGCUGACAUUUCUGAC